rnacentral:tRNA from 1 species
GGGCAUUUAGCUCAGUUGGCUAGAGCAACUCGUUUACACCGAGUAGGCCGCAGGUUCGAGUCCUGCAGUGCCCACCA